CGCUGGCGGAGGCCUAACACAUGCAAGUCGAACGCUCGUAGCAAUACGAGAGUGGCAGACGGGUGAGUAACACGUGGGAACCUUCCCUAUGGUUCGGAAUAGCCCAGGGAAACUUGGGGUAAUACCGGAUAAGCCCUCACGGGGAAAGAUUUAUCGCCAUUGGAUGGGCCCGCGUCGGAUUAGCUAGUUGGUGGGGUAAUGGCUCACCAAGGCGACGAUCCGUAGCUGGUCUGAGAGGAUGAUCAGCCACACUGGGACUGAGACACGGCCCAGACUCCUACGGGAGGCAGCAGUGGGGAAUAUUGGACAAUGGGCGCAAGCCUGAUCCAGCCAUGCCGCGUGAGUGACGAAGGCCUUAGGGUUGUAAAGCCCUUUUGGCGGGGAAGAUAAUGACGGUACCCGCAGAAUAAGCUCCGGCUAACUUCGUGCCAGCAGCC
rnacentral:rRNA from 1 species